AUACGUACGUCACGCACAUCGCUGCUGCCUGCUUCCUCCACCCUCCAGGCUUCUUCUCCCUCCCAUAAGGCCAUAAGGCUGAGUACUGAGUAGUAGUGAGUAGUCUUGGUUAAAUGUUAAUUUUACUCAAUAAAUCUUAAAUUUUAGAAAAUCCCAGAUUAUUUUCAUUUUUUUUUUUUUUAAUAUGGAAUCUAUACCUCCUCUUCCACCUCCUUUGCCAUACCUACCUAUGACAGAAAGUAAACAUAUUGAAGUUAACUCAAAAUUUAGCAAAAAUAUUAGUGAUCAAUACGUUUUGGAUAAUCUGGAGCUUUGGUUUAAACUGAACGGCAAAAGAAACAAAACUUUCCUGGCAAAUUGGCAAAAUACUCCCAACAUUCUACAAAAUGGUCCACAGUGUGGGCUAGUAGCUUUAGCUAUGGCUGCUCAAUCUUGUGGAAUUAAAGUUGACACAGAUUCUAUAUUUCAACAGGCUAAGCAAAUGGGGAUUACCAAAAAGGGUGAACUAUUCAGCUCAUCUGCAGUUUGUGCACUUGCAAAUCAAAUGAAUAUCAAUUCUGUAUUGCUAAAUAACGGUUUCAGUAAUAUUCAACUGUUACUUAGAUAUUUUAUAUCAGGCAAAUUACUGCUUGUUCCAUAUGAUGCUGAUUGUAACCAUGCCCCAUGCCUUAAGAAAGGCCACAAAGCACACUGGGCAUUGUUAGUUGGGGUUUUCUUUGAAUUUGAGAAUAACCUGAAUUUGCACACAGAAUUUUGUUGCAAAAGAGAAAUUCUCGGCGAAGAUUUAUAUCGGAUUUCGGACUUGUCCGCUAAUUGUGAUCUACUAAGUCAAGUGAAGAAAGAAAACAUAUACUUUUUGGCUAAACAUGGAAAAAGUAAGAGAUUGGCCAUCUGGAACUGUGAAAGUUUACAGCUCAGUAAUAAUAACCUAGAAGAGGUUGACCCAAAGCGCUCUAAUAGUAUAGAAUAUGUCCUCCCACCUAAUAAUAAAUUGUCAGAUUUGUGUGGCAAAAUAAUUGUUUUAGGAUAAAUAAUCAUGCUAUUUUAAAGUCAUAUCGAAACCCUUAUACACCAUAUUGUAAUUAGCAUAAAACUUAAAAUACAUGGAAGAAAAGCGAUAUGUUGUGAAUACGGCAUGUUCCAUCUUCUUUGAGUUUAUAUUUCACUUAAGGGUGUAGGGUGACAGUCCGUGUAACUUCAGUAUUUGAUUAUCAUUCAAUAUGCGCUGCUUGCCAUAUAAGAACAAAACUGUUCAUUUGUACCAAUAAAUAAUAAUAUUAUUAAAAUUCUUUAAACCUAUAUACCACAAGCAUUGAUUUUCGAAAGUGGCGAAUCGUGAUGAUGCAUUAACUUGUGGGCCAAAUCCGGAAAGCUCAUUCAAAAGCGUUCGCGUGGUUAACUAAAGGAGCUCAAAAUUGCGUAUGUUUUAUCCCUUCCCUUCCAAUUAAAUGCCCGCGGAUAUUUACCGAAGCGCACAGGUGAUAGUGAUGUAGUAUGGUGUCAAAGAUACCACUGACCAGUAUCUUCUAUCUUGGUUAGUGUAACAGGUUGCUGUACAUGCACUCCAAACUCUAUUAUUUCAUAAAUCGUCAUUUUUAUCUUAAACUUUUUUCGUUUGGCUUAAUAUUUGUGGACGAUUACCUACAGUUCAAAUCAUUAUUUACAUCACGAUCCAAAUCAUUGUUUGUGUUUUUCAGAACUGCAAAAAAUAUGGGAUUUCAGUCGCUCUGUUUAUGGCCUGCCAUAUUUCUGGCCCUAGGGUUGCUAUUUAGUUGGAGUUCAGGAGCGACCCUCUGCGGUAAAUGGACAUUUGAAGAACAUAAAAUCUCUUCCGUGAAAUUGUGCCAAGAAUCUAUCCCAAAGGCUUCCAAAAGCAACGAUAAACUACUAAGCACACAAAUUUCUGAAGAGCCCUAUUAUAUGUCAACUCCUCAACCACCAACGAAACAACGAGAGUUACCGAAAAAUCCUUACAUGGAUUAUGAAGAUUAUUACACGCGAUCGUAAUGACUUUCGUGGCACUGGGGUGUAAAAAGUUAAAUAUAAAUACACAUUUUGUUAGAUUCA
rnacentral:misc_RNA from 1 species